rnacentral:rRNA from 1 species
GGUGGUCUAAUACUUCAUAAUAUCCAUCUCGUAUGGAUUAAAGCUUUAUGCGCUUUGGAGGGGCCUGCGUAACAUUAGCUUGUUGGUGAGGUAAAAGCUCACCAAGGCUUCGAUGUUUAACUGGUUUGAGAGGAUGACCAGUCACACUGGGACUGAGAUACGGUUCAGACUCCUACGGGAGGCAGCAGUAAGGAAUCUUCCACAAUGGGGCAACCCUGAUGGAGCAAUACCGCGUGCAGGAUGAAGCGUUUCGGCGUGUAAACUGCUUUAUCACCGAAGACUAUGACUGUAGGUGAAGAAUAAGGACCGGCUAACUACGUG